rnacentral:sRNA from 1 species
AAGUUGCUGCGUGGGCCAAGUUACUUGUGCAGAUUAUUCAGGACAGGGAGUUGACCAGCUGCAAAGAGUGAUUGACACCAUCAAAUCCAACCCUGACGACAGAAGAAUCAUCAUGUGCGCUUGGAAUCCAAGAGAUCUUCCUCUGAUGGCGCUGCCUCCAUGCCAUGCCCUCUGCCAGUUCUAUGUGGUGAACAGUGAGCUGUCCUGCCAGCUGUACCAGAGAUCGGGAGACAUGGGCCUCGGUGUGCCUUUCAACAUCGCCAGCUACGCCCUGCUCACGUACAUGAUUGCGCACAUCACGGGCCUGAAGCCAGGUGACUUUAUACACACUUUGGGAGAUGCACAUAUUUACCUGAAUCACAUCGAGCCACUGAAAAUUCAGCUUCAGCGAGAACCCAGACCUUUCCCAAAGCUCAAGAUUCUUCGAAAAGUUGAGAAAAUUGAUGACUUCAAAGCUGAAGACUUUCAGAUUGAAGGGUACAAUCCACAUCCAACUAUUAAAAUGGAAAUGGCUGUUUAGGGUGCUUUCAAAGGAGCUCGAAGGAUAUUGUCAGUCUUUAGGGGUUGGGCUGGAUGCCGAGGUAAAAGUUCUUUUUGCUCUAAAAGCAAAAGGAACUAGGUCAAAAAUCUGUCCGUGACCUAUCAGUUAUUAAUUUUUAAGGAUGUUGCCACUGGCAAAUAUAACUGUGCCAGUUCUUUCCAUAAUAAAAGGCUUUGAGUUAACUCACUGAGGGUAUCUGACAAUGCUGAGGUUAUGAACAAAGUGAGGAGAAUGAAAUGUAUGUGCUCUUAGCAAAAACAUGUAUGUGCAUUUCAAUCCCACGUCCUUAUAAAGAAGGUUGGUGAAUUUCAUAAGCUAUUUCUGGAAUAUUUUUAGAAUAUUUUA